rnacentral:lncRNA from 1 species
GCCCAGACCGCUGGAUAGGAGGCUCUUGGCCGGGCCGGGGGCUGGGGGCCGGGAUGGCAGAGGGGGCCCUAGCUGCGCCCCGCCGCGCUGGGCCCUCGUCUCCGGGUGCUCUCAACCCUCAUACAGGCCCUUAGCCGUUCUCCUAGGGACCCUGCCCGGACAGGAGGAAAGGUUUCCGGCCCAUGGAGUUUAGUCUCAUUACAAAAGCAAAACAAGAAUAAGACUUACCAAGUUGCUUGCCGUUGGGGCUGAGGUCCAAGGAGGUGAU